UACAGGUUGCACUUUGUAAAUACAGCUGUUUCUCAAAACACGCCUCUUUUGGGGAGUAAUUGAAUAUUCAUAGAAAAUUGAUUUUGUUUACAUACUGGUUCCCAGUUAUGCUCUCUGUGUUCCAUAUCGCAGAGACAGAACUUGGGAAUGUUACCAGUAAAUAAACACGUGCAUAUUGUUUACAUUGAAAUCUGUGGUAACCUUUCAUUCGAGGUAGGGGUCGUUAAAAAAAUUAGUGUAAGUUUAAACUCUGAGAAGUUCAGGGCAUAUAAACGUUGAAAAUAUGCCGCACAGCCCUAUAUUUUGACCUUUGAAAAAAAUUGUGGUG
rnacentral:lncRNA from 1 species